GUGCCGAGAGCGGCGAUUCUACCGGCAACGGUAUAUGUCGGAGUCUAAUCCGCCGUCCGUUGUUGAUUUGAGAUUUACGCCUGGUCAACCGUCUUGUUCCUCGAACCAGCAAGGCAAAUUGCAAAAACACCCAAAUAGAACUGGCUCCUACGCAACUCUCUCUCGUUCUAAUUGAGGAUAGAUCUCGAGCAUGCGGCAGCAGCGGCAGCAGCGGCUGGCCGGCCUCCAGAGUCUCCGACGGCGCUAGGGCUUGCUGGACGGCGGUUCCAGGCUCCGUGUAUGCGCUUGCAGUGCAUGCACAUGAUUUGGUGAUGGUAUUGCGACAGCAUGCUUAGUCACCGGUUUAUAAAUGGAGCAGCCUGGGCCACACCGAUGAAAAAAUGCUAAAAUUUGAAUAAAACAGGGCAUUAUCUAUGCUUGCUGAAAGGAUAUGAAGGUCGAGAUCAAGUACUUUGUUUGUGCAUCCCUAGUAAGAAGUUAAUUUAAGUUAUGAAGUGCAGUUAACUUAUGGGCAGCAUGGAUGUAUCUCCUUAUUACCUGCAAAUUUGUCUGAUAACCAAAUCAGGUGGAACGUCAUUUAUAUUUGUCUAGAUAUGUGACUGAUCAUUGUGUCAAUCUAGUUAAUUAAAUGUUUUGACCUGUUGUUAAUGAAUUGUUCAUAUCUUUAUCAUGGUUAUUUUUCCAUAUUUCUCUUUGUAUAUGUACCUGUGUGGUAAUGAUUUGACAUGGAGGUGCGAUGGGCUAUAUGCACGGAAUGGUGCAAAUUAACUCGCUUGCUAACUUAGCUUCGGUAAGCUGCUCAUAUUUCUCAGCGAAUUCCAAGCAGCACAUAUGUAUAUAAAGAUAUCAUCAAUUCCGUACUAGUAACUAUUUAUCUAAUCACCACCAAACUCUAUUUUGCUUUCACUUUGCAGUUAGACUUGACUUUGUAUGUACAUGCUUCCAUUUCUAUUUAAUUUAUCUUGAAAAGAAACAUGGUUCUUUGCAUGGUGAAGAUCCCAUGUUUUAGAUAUAUGUUCUUUGACAUUUUCGUAUGGUGAGUAUUAGAGAAGUACGUACCAGAAUUCACUAUACCAUUCUACUGUUUUUCACCACAUCAAUUCUGAAAUUGGAACUUUGUUUUUGCAGGAAAAAAGAAGGAUUGCUAUAUUGGGAUGUCAGAAUGGUAGAUUAGUUAGAAUAUUAUAUUUUGAAUCAAGGCUGUAAGUUGUAUACUCGUGAGAUAACUUUCAUGCGCUCACAUACACGCGCAUACACUCACCCCUAUGAACGCACACACGCACACACCCUACCCCUAUGAGCACCUCCGGAAGACUGAGCCGGCGGAUUGGAUCUUGAAAUUGACGAAGUCACCAUAGGCGCCUUGCUGUCGACGGGAACGUCGCCUCCCACUGAAAGAAUAUUCCGCCUUUAUGAGACACACAGAUGUCAAACCUGGGGUUUGAACUCUGGUGGGCUGGGGGUACAACCACCCACCUAACCACCCAACCUCAGGUUGGUUCUCAUGUCCAUUCAUAAUCUGCGAUUUGUGUUUUCCCAUAUGUAUCUCAUAAAGUGUAUAUUUUCUUCGUGACAAGAAAUUACUACAUAAUCUGCGAUUUGUGUUUUUUCGUAUGUUUGUCAUAAUUUGUGAUCUGUGUUCAUAUGUAUCUCAUUAUUUAUGAUUGGUGUUUUCUCA